rnacentral:rRNA from 1 species
CCUACGGGUGGCAGCAGUGAGGAAUAUUGGUCAAUGGACUAAAGUCUGAACCAGCCAAGUAGCGUGAAGGAUGACUGCCCUAUGGGUUGUACACUUCUUUUAUCUGGGAGUACAACGUUCCACGUGUGGGAUUUUGUAUGUACCAUGUGAAUAAAGCUCGGUUAACUCCGUGCCAGCAGCCGCGGUCAUACGGAGGAUCCGAGCGUUAUUCGGAUUUAUUGGGUUUAAAGGGAGCGUAGGUGGCUUGUUAAGUCAGUUGUGAAAGUUUGCGGCUCAACCGUAAAAUUGCAGUUGAAACUGGCAGUCGUGAGUACAGUAGAGGUGGGCGGAAUUCGUGGUGUAGCGGUGAAAUGCUUAGAUAUCACGAAGAACUCCGAUUGCGAAGGCAGUUCACUGGACUGCAACUGACACUGAGGCUCGAAAGUGUGGGUAUCAAACAGGAUUAGAUACCCGAGUAGUC